rnacentral:rRNA from 1 species
CAGGAGUGAAAGGCUACGGCUCAACCGUAGUAAGCUCUUGAAACUGGGAGACUUGAGUGCAGGAGAGGAGAGUGGAAUUCCUAGUGUAGCGGUGAAAUGCGUAGAUAGUAGGAGGAACACCAGUUGCGAAGGCGGCUCUCUGGACUGUAACUGACGCUGAGGCACGAAAGCGUGGGGAGCAAACAGGAUUAGAUACCCUGGUAGUCCACGCUGUAAACGAUGAGUACUAGGUGUC